CGCUGGGGCCUGAGGGCCUGAGCCUUCUGAGGUAGCCUUGCCUGCGGUCCCUCGCUGGCUUCUGGCUUCGGGGCCGCCCGCGGGAGGGAUCCGCUGGGCCUGGGGACAGGAGAGGCGGAAGGAACGGCCGGCGCUCUCCCGGGACUGGCUGGAGCGGCCCUCCCUGGGGAGCAGCUGUGAUGGGGUGUCUGUCCUCCCUGACAGCCCGCGGAAACAUCCAAUGUCACAGAGGUGUAGGGAGGGCGGGGCCCACUGGAAAGGCCCAGGCAAGGGACGGUCACAGGUUCCAGGCCAGCCUAGGCUACGGGCUACGGGGCCCCAAUGAGAAAAGAACCCAUUCUCCAAGGGCGCGUUCGAAUUGCUUUUCCUCUGCGGCCCAGCAUCUGUCCUUAGCAACCCCAGAAGAGUGGGUCAGAUACUGGAAAAGAAAAAGCCGAGCCUGUUGGAGAGUAGGGUGGGCAUAUUUCCAGAAGUUCAAGGCCAGCCUGAGCUACAGAGUGAGAACUGUCCAAAAAAGAGAAAGAAACCCUGCCUUCUCCAAGGACUACUUUGAAUUGCUUUCCCUCCGAGUAGCUAUGAUUCAGCCCCCGCACCCCCCCACACACACCCCUGCAGCAAUGAUAGAGGCAACAGACGGGGAAAAAAGAGAGAAACGACAAAUGAAUCAGAGCCAUGCAGAACCAGGGGAAGAGAGAAUGUCCCCCAAAGACUUAAUGGAAGAAGGCAACAUCUGAAGAAUUUGGUGAGAAGCUUUCUCUAGGAGUCAAAUGCAAAAAUCCAAG
rnacentral:lncRNA from 1 species